GGGUGAGUAAACGCGUAGGUAUCCUGCCAGGUAGGCGGGGGAUAUCUAUUGGAACGAUAGCUAAUACCGCAUAAGAAACAUUUUACUGCAUGGUAGAUGUUUAAAAGGUGCAAAUGCAUCACUACCAGAUGGACCUGCGUUGUAUUAGCUAGUAGGUGAGGUAACGGCUCACCUAGGCGACGAUACAUAGCCGCCUGAGAGGGUGAUCGGCCACACUGGGAUGAGACACGGCCCAGACUCCUACGGGAGGCAGCAGUAGGGAAUCUUCGGCAAUGGGGGAACCCUGACCGAGCAACGCCGCGUGAGUGAAGAAGGU
rnacentral:rRNA from 1 species